rnacentral:rRNA from 1 species
CAAUAGCGUAUAUUAAAGCUGUUGCGGUUAAAAAGCUCGUAGUUGGAUUUCUGUCAAGGACAACUGGUCCGCCCCUCGGGUGAGCACAUAGUUUGGUCUUGGCAUCUUGUUGGAAACUGUUGCUGCACUUGGUUGUGUGGCGCAGUGUCCAGCACUUUCACUUUGAGGAAAUUGGAGUGUUUCAAGCAGGCACAUGCCUUUGGACACAGUAGCAUGGAAUAAUUAGAUUGGGCUUUUGCUCCAACUUGUCGGUUUCUGGAGCUGAGGUGAGAAUUAAUGGGGAUUGUUGGGGGCAUCCGAAUUUAGCCGUCAGAGGUGAAAUUCUUGGAUCUGCUAAGACGGACAACUGCGAAAGCGUUUGCCCAGGAUGUUUUCAUUGA